rnacentral:rRNA from 1 species
GAAGCUGACGGAGCACGCCGCGUGAGGGAUGGAGGCCUUUGGGCUGUAAACCUCUUUUCUCAAGGAAGAAGACCUGACGGUACUUGAGGAAUAAGCCACGGCUAAUUCCGUGCCAGCAGCCGCGGUAAUACGGGAGUGGCAAGCGUUAUCCGGAAUUAUUGGGCGUAAAGCGUCCGCAGGCGGCCGUUUAAGUCUGUUGUUAAAUCGUGGAGCUCAACUCCAUCACGGCAAUGGAAACUGUUCGGCUUGAGUAUGGUAGGGGCAGAGGGAAUUUCCGGUGUAGCGGUGAAAUGCGUAGAUAUCGGGAAGAACACCAGUGGCGAAAGCGCUCUGCUGGACCAUUACUGACGCUCAUGGACGAAAGCCAGGGGAGCGAAAGGGAUUAGAUACCCCUGUAGUCCUGGCCGUAAACGAUGAACACUAGAUGUUGGGGGAAUCGACCCCCUCGGUGUCGUAGCUAACGCGUUAAGUGUUCCGCCUGGGGAGUACGCACGCAAGUGUGAAACUCAAAGGAAUUGACGGA